AUCGAAGAGCACUGCUAUAGAUAUAUAUGUAUAUAUCGGGAGCAAAUUAUGCAAGCACUUACUUAGCAGUGACAACAAUGAGCUAACCGGGAAAGAGAGCCAAUAUGUAGAAUCGUCUUAUUGCCACCAUUCUUGUCUGUCAUGGAUGGGCUGACGGGCUCUCUUUCUUGGUUGUUUAGGAGCCAAAUACUGAAGCUUGACAUGAGGAACCAAAAUUGCAAACACAGUAAGUGUGGUUACGAUGAAAAAACGCAAACUCAAAUUAAUGUCGGACCAUAUUUCCGUUGGCGAUAUGACCGACAUUGAUACAGAGUGGCAUGAAAACAACAAAGUCACCGACG
rnacentral:misc_RNA from 1 species